CCUACGGGAGGCAGCAGUGGGGAAUAUUGGGCAAUGGGCGAAAGCCUGACCCAGCGACGCCGCGUGAGGGACGAAGGCCUUCGGGUUGUAAACCUCUUUUCAGCAGGGAAGAAGCGAAAGUGACGGUACCUGCAGAAGAAGCACCGGCUAACUACGUGCCAGCAGCCGCGGUAAUACGUAGGGUGCAAGCGUUGUCCGGAAUUAUUGGGCGUAAAGAGCUCGUAGGUGGUUUGCCACGUCGGAUGUGAAAACCUGAGGCUUAACCUCAGGCCUGCAUUCGAUACGGGCAGACUAGAGUGUGGUAGGGGAGACUGGAAUUCCUGGUGUAGCGGUGAAAUGCGCAGAUAUCAGGAGGAACACCGGUGGCGAAGGCGGGUCUCUGGGGCCAGUAACCUGACACUGAGGAGCGAAAGCGUGGGGAGCAAACAGGAUUAGAUACCCUGGUAGUCCACGCCGUAAACGGUGGGCACUAGAUGUGGGGACCUUCCACGGUCUCUGCGUCGCNGCUACGCAUAGUCGUCCCGCCGUCGGGUAGGUACGGCCGCGACGACGUAAACUACAAACGAAGUAGUACGACGCGAGAGUACGCGACGACGACGACGACGGAGGAGAG
rnacentral:rRNA from 1 species